rnacentral:rRNA from 1 species
CAGCAGCCGCGGUAAUACGUAGGUGGCAAGCGUUGUCCGGAAUUAUUGGGCGUAAAGCGCGCGCAGGCGGUCCUUUAAGUCUGAUGUGAAAGCCCCCGGCUCAACCGGGGAGGGCCAUUGGAAACUGGGGGACUUGAGUGCAGGAGAGGGAAGUGGAAUUCCACGUGUAGCGGUGAAAUGCGUAGAGAUGUGGAGGAACACCAGUGGCGAAGGCGGCUUCCUGGCCUGUAACUGACGCUGAGGCGCGAAAGCGUGGGGAGCAAACAGGAUUAGAUACCCUGGUAGUCCACGCCGUAAACGAUGAGUGCUAAGUGUUAGGGGGUUUCCGCCCCUUAGUGCUGCAGCUAACGCGUUAAGCACUCCGCCUGGGGAGUACGGCCGCAAGGCUGAAACUUAAAGGAAUUGGCGGG